AGAGUUUGAUCCUGGCUCAGGAUGAACGCUAGCGACAGGCCUAACACAUGCAAGUCGAGGGGCAUCGGGACGUAGCAAUACGUUGCCGGCGACCGGCGGAUGGGUGAGUAACGCGUAUGCAACCUACCCGUAGCAGGGGGAUAGCCCGUUGAAAGACGGAUUAAUACCCCGUAACACAGGGGCUCCGCAUGGAGAUUAUUGUUAAAGGGUCAUUUCUUUUAGAGGUGGUCCGGCUACGGAUGGGCAUGCGUUCCAUUAGGUAGUUGGUGUAGGUAACGGCUCACCAAGCCGACGAUGGAUAGGGGAACUGAGAGGUUGGUCCCCCACACUGGUACUGAGACACGGACCAGACUCCUACGGGAGGCAGCAGUGAGGAAUCUUGGUCAAUGGACGCAAGUCUGAACCAGCCAUGUCGCGUGAAGGAGGACGGCCCUAAGGGUUGUAAACUUCUUUUGCAGCGGAAUAAAGUUUGCCACGAGUUGGCGAUUUGCAAGUACGCUGCGAAUAAGGAUCGGCUAACUCCGUGCCAGCAGCCGCGGUAAUACGGAGGAUCCGGGCGUUAUCCGGAUUUAUUGGGUUUAAAGGGUGCGCAGGCGGGGAUUUAGGUCGGCGGUGAAAUUUCGGGGCUCAACCUCGAUAGUGCCGUUGAAACCGUUUCUCUUGAGUGCGGAUGAGGUAGGCGGAAUUUGUGGUGUAGCGGUGAAAUGCGUAGAUAUCACAAGGAACACCGAUUGCGGAGGCAGCUUACUAAACCGUUACUGACGCUCAUGCACGAAGGCGUGGGGAUCAAACAGGAUUAGAUACCCUGGUAGUCCACGCAGUAAACGAUGAUUACUUGCUGUUUGCGAUACACAGUAAGCGGCGUAGCGAAAGCGUUAAGUAAUCCACCUGGGGAGUACGUUCGCAAGAAUGAAACUCAAAGGAAUUGACGG
rnacentral:rRNA from 1 species